rnacentral:lncRNA from 1 species
GGCGAAUUGCAUGAAUGAGCAGGAGAAUGGGCGAUGAAUGAGAAGAAGUGCGGGAUUAGCAUGAGCAAAAUACAGACAAAAAAGAACAGUAGAACGGAAUAGUAGUAGAAUUAGUAGUAGACAAUUAAGCCCUAUUCCAAAGGCAACAAAUGCAAGCCCAGCGAAAGAAAGAUGUUGCGACAAAAUGCAAAAGUAGCACACAGCGACAGCACCGAGAUAUAGCAGCCAAAGAUACAGAUACUUUUCUUGCCGGCUUGGAUCGGUUCAUAAGAUCUGCAGAGUGGAAGGGAGGGUAGGCAGGCGGGGGGUCUGUGGCAUGAACAGGGGCAGGGGCCAGUGUCAGUUUGUUUGUGGAAUGCCG